UGGUGAUAGAGGAAAAUAUAGUUUAGAUGAUCAAAUGUAUACUUUAAUGAUUAGAACCAUUCAUGCUAAUACUAUAUUUGUUAUGAUCUGAAAAGUAUGGGUUCUUAAUUGUACUGUUACUGAAAAUGUAAGCAGAAAUGAAUUGUGUCUGUGUCUCCUGGGAAAGUUUUGAAGCAGGGAUAAGAUAGUACUUCAAACAGAUAAGAAUGUUUUGGUUGGAUUCCAUUAGCAGAGAGAAGUAUAUCCUUUAGGCAGGUUGGAAUGUAGUUUAUGAGGGGAGUGAAACUAUCUCCAGGACUGAAUACUGCGCCAUUGUACGGCUGGGAGAGGGGGUGUAACUGAUGACGUCAUUUUAUGUCUUCUUCAGAUUUAAAAUGUAAUGUUCUUUGUAUUUUGGGUCAGUACUCAUCAAGAAUAAAUGCUGAACUUGUUUUUUAAGACUGGUCUCUGCUAAUUCAUGCAAAUGAUAAACUUACAACUUAUCAUGAAUUAGAAAUGAGUGCGAAUUUGAUUGGCUUUGAUAAUAAAACAUAAGGGAAUUUAAAAAUUCCUCUAUCAAUUUGGUCCUUCGAGACGGAUCUAAACAUCUCUCUCUGUGCCUGGGGGUAGUAAGCUGGAAAAUCGUGCACGGACGAGUUCGACUCGUUUUACUAAAGACCUGACCUCUGAAUUGAGGUUAAAAAUUGAAACAGGCCUGCGUAUUACCACAGAGGACAGAGAGAGUGACUAGAUACAACGAACAUUGCUUUCCCAGUCGGCGAUAAGUUUUAUGCCCAGCAGGAGAACUACAGAGGGAGGUGGCACACGAGAUUCAACCAGGAGACUGGAUCUGGAUCCGAUCACUGAAGAUAAAAAAAAAAAAAAAUGGAAGCAGCCUCGGUGGGAGGGACCAUUCCAAGUACUACUGGUGACUGCCUUCGCUGUGAGAAUAGCCGAAAGAGCUACCUGGGUACAUGUCACACAUUGUAAGAGGGUGGGUCAUACUGGCACUGUCGAGCGGUCACAGGAGGAGGAGAGGAACCGUGACCCAUAUGGAACGGGGUCAAACUCCUUCUGAAGAUUCCCUAUACCUGACCUUUCCCCAGCUGUGAGCGUUCAUAGAAGUGAAGUGAUGGCUUGGCCUCUGGCUGUUGAUAUGUUCUCGGGGAGAGGUUGAGGCUUCACGUGUGCACUGACCGUCCUGAGCUGUUUUAUUGUGGGGGCCAUAUUCCUGAUUCACCAUGAUCCCCGGAAAGUGCCAAAGAGGAUAAUUUGACUCAUGUGCUAGAUGAGGGAAAUGGGAUGUUACCUAAGAUUCUCAGAAGGUCACUGAAACAAAAUAGUAAGGAAAUGAGGGUGGAAUUGGGCAAGGAUCUCUCAGUAAAAUUUUGUGUAGAUCAAUUGGGAUCUUUCACCCCUUGGCAGUCUAGAACCAUGGGACUCUAUGGGAAAUAUUUGUGUAAAUCAUCCUGUAGGUCGUGGAGCCAGGUCAUAGCUCACACUGAAAGAGAUGGCUAUGUAAACCCAUACACUCAAUUUGGUUGGAAUGGAUUCAAUAUACGGCCAGAUCAGUGGCUAAAGAUGAAUGUUAUGCAAAACCACAGUUAACAACUAUCCCUUUCCCACUGAACGGAAUUAAUUCCCCUAAGGGAAUGGCAUGUAUGGUAAAGCUGUUCAUGAAAGCAGGAAUGCCAAGUAAUGAUAGCUGUAUUGAUUUACACUAUUUAUAUCUCCAGGUUCCAUUUAAAUCAAGACUUCCUCCCUUUACCGUGACGAGAGGAGAAUAUUACUGUUUGGCCAGAUACAGUACACACGGGAAAUACGUGGGGGAAGUUGGUACCUGCAAUAAGACAGAGAAUAUUACCACUGACGAGACCAUGUCUGAUUUGACAGGCUGGUUGAACUCUGGAGAUUUCAAAAUGUUGAAGGUGGCCAGGGCUGACAUAGUGGUCCUUCUGUAGCUCAGUUGGUAGAGCAUGGCGCUUGUAACGCCAGGGUAGUGGGUUCGAUUCCCGGGACCACCCAUACGUAGAAUGUAUGCACACAUGACUGUAAGUCGCUUUGGAUAAAAGCGUCUGCUAAAUGGCAUAUAUAUCUGGUGGUUGUGCGGGGGAAUGAAUUUGUGGCCGGUAUUACCGACUGAUUGGACUGGACUAUGUGCUCUAGUACAUAUAGGAAUGCCUUUUACACUCAUACAACACCAAGACAUGAAGUUAGUCAAACGAGAGAGAAGGGAUGCUCCAUCGGGGUCUUUUGACGACAGAGUAUAUAUUGAUAACAUUGGGGUUCCACGAGGGGUGCCGGAUGAGUUCAAGGCAAGAAAUCAGAUACUAGCAGGAUUAGAGUCAAGUAUUUUUUGGUGGUCUACUCUCAAUAAGAAUGUAGACUGGAUUAAUUAUAUUUAUUAUAAUCAACAGCGCUUUAUCAAUUAUUCCAGAGAUGCGAUUAAAGGGUUGGCAGAACAGACUGAAGCAACCAGUCUGAUGGCUUGGCAGAAUAGAAUUGCAUUGGAUAUGUUAUUGGCUGAAAAGGGAGGAGUAUGUGUGAUCUUCGGGAACAUGUGUUGUACUUUCAUCCCGAAUGACACAGCUCCGGACGGAUCUGUGACCAAAGCCUUAGCUGGUUUGACCACCCUGGCUCACGAGUUGGCAGAAAACUCUGGGGUGGAUCCUUCCCUGACUAAUUGGUUUGAUAGUACAUUUGGAAAAUGGAAAAGUGUUGUAAUCACGGUGUUUUGGGCUGUAUCUACCUGUAUGACUGUUUUAAUUUUAUGCGGCUGUUGUCUAAUUCCCUGUGUGCGAGGCCUUGUUUCCAGGACUCUGGAAAGAUCAAUGACCCAACAGAUGGUGCGUUAUGGGCCGUUUCCAGAUUCUGACCUGUGGAGGACUGAAGGCAUGUCUACAGAGGAAGUGGACGAAUCCGGAUCUGUCAUUUGUGGGGAAUUUAUGUUUGAUGAGGCUAGUGUUGAGAUAAAGGGGAAUUAGAUUGUAAUUGGUUUCCAUGAUUAAACUGUUUUUUUUUAAUGAAGGUCGUGACGAAAAUCCGGAAGGAAGAGUAAUGAUUCUGAUGUAGAUUUAAAAACAGUUGGAGUUAAGGUUAGAAUUGAUUAAUGAAAUGUGGAGAGUUGGCUAAACAUUUAUAAUUGAUUUGUUGAUUAUUUGUCUAUUCAUAUGAUAAUCUGAUAAACCUCUAUAAAAAGGUUAGUUAAGUUCGUUUAUACUUUCAUUUUUUAUGAUUAAAUAAAACUAGAUGUAGAAUUGAAUGUAUAAUAUUUGAUCAAAGGGAGGAUUGAUAGAGGAAAAUAUAGUUUAGAUGAUCAAAUGUAUACUUUAAUGAUUAGAACCAUUCAUGCUAAUACUAUAUUUGUUAUGAUCUGAAAAGUAUGGGUUCUUAAUUGUACUGUUACUGAAAAUGUAAGCAGAAAUGAAUUGUGUCUGUGUCUCCUGGGAAAGUUUUGAAGCAGGGAUAAGAUAGUACUUCAAACAGAUAAGAAUGUUUUGGUUGGAUUCCAUUAGCAGAGAGAAGUAUAUCCUUUAGGCAGGUUGGAAUGUAGUUUAUGAGGGGAGUGAAACUAUCUCCAGGACUGAAUACUGCGCCAUUGUACGGCUGGGAGAGGGGUGUAACUGAUGACGUCAUUUUAUGUCUUCUUCAGAUUUAAAAUGUAAUGUUCUUUGUAUUUUGGGUCAGUACUCAUCAAGAAUAAAUGCUGAACUUGUUUUUUUAA